rnacentral:rRNA from 1 species
GAUGAACGCUGGCGGCGUGCCUAAUACAUGCAAGUCGAGCGAACGGACGAGAAGCUUGCUUUUCUGAUGUUAGCGGCGGACGGGUGAGUAACACGUGGAUAACCUACCUAUCAGACUGGGAUAACUUCGGGAAACCGGAGCUAAUACCGGAUAAUAUUUUGAACCGCAUGGUUCAAAAGUGAAAGACGGUCUUGCUGUCACUUAUAGAUGGAUCCGCGCUGCAUUAGCUAGUUGGUAAGGUAACGGCUUACCAAGGCAACGAUGCAUAGCCGACCUGAGAGGGUGAUCGGCCACACUGGAACUGAGACACGGUCCAGACUCCUACGGGAGGCAGCAGUAGGGAAUCUUCCGCAAUGGGCGAAAGCCUGACGGAGCAACGCCGCGUGAGUGAUGAAGGUCUUCGGAUCGUAAAACUCUGUUAUUAGGGAAGAACAUAUGUGUAAGUAACUGUGCACAUCUUGACGGUACCUAAUCAGAAAGCCACGGCUAACUACGUG